rnacentral:rRNA from 1 species
GAUGAACGCUGGCGGCGUGCUUAACACAUGCAAGUCGAACGAUGAAGCCGAGCUUGCUUGGUGGAUUAGCGGCGAACGGGUGAGUAGCACGUGAGCAACCUGCCCUGGACUCUGGGAUAAGCGCUGGAAACGGUGUCUAAUACUGGAUAUGAGCUCUCAUCGCAUGGUGGGGGUUGGAAAGAUUUUUCGGUCUGGGAUGGGCUCGCGGCCUAUCAGCUUGUUGGUGAGGUAAUGGCUUACCAAGGCGUCGACGGGUAGCCGGCCUGAGAAGGUGACCGGCCACACUGGGACUGAGACACGGCCCAGACUCCUACGGGAGGCAGCAGUGGGGAAUAUUGCACAAUGGGCGGAAGCCUGAUGCAGCAACGCCGCGUGAGGGAUGACGGCCUUCGGGUUGUAAACCUCUUUUAGCAAGGAAGAAGCGAAAGUGACGGUGCUUGCAGAAAAAGCGCCGGCUAACUACGUGCCAGCAGCCGCAGUAAUAC